rnacentral:tRNA from 1 species
CAGGGGGUAUUUUAUUUAAAAUGUUGGUUUUGGGGACUAAUGAAAUGGCGUUAUGUCUUUCCUCUGA